GAAGAACAUGUGAAAUAAAUAGUACCUACAUUCAAAGUUUAUUAUUAAGUUUUGUGGUCAUUACUUUCUUUGUGUAUACUUCUUCGUUUCCCUUUCGCUCUUUUAAAAAAAAAUUGCGUCCUCCAUAAGCUUUAAAAACUUAGUGAUCAAACGGGUCAGCCAGCUUGAGUUGAUUCUAUUUUUUAGUGGUAUCCUUUUCCGCCGCAAGGACUUAACUGGACCCGACCCAAACUGAACCGUACGAGAAUGCAGUUGUAAGGUGUGAAUAAGGACUGGCACAAUACUAAUUAUAAGUGCAGACAUAACUCUCAGAAGAAUGUAAAAUCCUCACAUUUUCCUCUCAACAAGGAUGUUACCUUCAAGGAAUCUCCUUCCCUGCAGUAGUCGGGACUCAUUCGUAACAUGUGUAGGUCCAUAAUAUCCAGAAUGUGUCUUUGGUUUAGAAUUACUUUUCUGUUUUUGCCUCUACUAUUUUUAGAUUGUUUAAGGAAAUGAAUAAAAGCGAAAUGAGUCCUUGCAUUUAA
rnacentral:lncRNA from 1 species